AAUAGUAGUCACCCACCCAAAAGAUGGUUCUGAAAAUUAAAUAUAUGGCCUUUGAGUGUAGGUUCUGACUUCUUCACACCACCAAAUCCCCAGAGAACAGUGCAAGACACACGGUAGUGAAUAAUACAUAGUUAGAUGUUUUCGGCACUAGGUUAAAUAAGACAGCACAUGUAGUGUACUUAGUAUAAAGUAAGAAUUUUAUAAUGUAAGAUCUCUUCCUGGAGAGGCUCUUAAUGUCACCAGUCACCUCUACUCCAGAGGAAUUUCAACAACUGGGGACUAUUCAUUGAGUCCAUGGUUUAUGUCAAACAUCAAGACGAAAUCCAUUCUUAAAUUAUCCCCAAAAUCAUGUCCUGUGCUGAAACAUACCAGAUAACAAUUUCUUUAUUUUUCCCCCCGGGAGAGGAGUGAAAGGAAGAGCAUUCUUUCAUCGUCAUUCAGUGGAGAGAAGUUCUGUUGAGGUUGCAAACACAAAUAGUUGAAUCCAGUGUGGUGAGCAUCUAGCAGUGUGGAAAUGGAGGAACCUUGGGUAUUUAUGGAGCAUUGUUUUAUGGUGAUGAAUAGGACAGGGAAAGCCUCUGUUUUCAUGGUGCUCAUACGUUCAAGGAAGAGAGUCACCAAAAUCUGAUAAAUAAGAAACUAACUAACUGUGAGAAUAUCACGUAAUGAAAGUACUAUUAGAAAAUGAAACAAGGUGUGAAGGUGAGGAUGAAGGGGAGAGUGAAUGAAGGCCACGUUCAAUGGAAUGCUCAGGAAGGUCUUUUGGGGGAG
rnacentral:lncRNA from 1 species